GCCGGGAUCGCCUAGCCUGGUUAGGGCGGCGGCCUGCUAAUUAGCGUGGGCAGCCGUUGGGGGAAACCCCGCGUGGGUUCAAAUCCCACUCCCGGCG
rnacentral:tRNA from 1 species